rnacentral:tRNA from 1 species
GCUUUUGGUUCAGUGGUAGAAUGCCACGCGGGUGCCCCGGGUUCGAAUCCCGGCCGAUGCA